AAAGUUGAAAGAAAAAAUUAACAUUUAAUUGCAAUGAAAAUUUCCCAAUGGAUUUUGUGUUUGCCGUUCAAGCAUAGUACCCAUAACUGCUGAGAUGAAAAAGGAUAUCAUCUGAAUAUUUUUGUAAAGGAUGUGAUAAGUACAUGGUAGUCCUGCAGAGUUUAAGAUCUAUUAAACAAACAUUCAGACCAGACCAGAAAGAGACAAUCAGAUGGUCCAUCAUUUUCAUCCAUGGAGCUGCAAACUUUGGUGGAUGCUAAUGAGGUAGAGGAGCCACUGUGUUGGGAGCUCUGGAAAUGGAGAAAGACAAAUGAAGACAGAAAUGAUUGUUAAAAUGCACCUGUAUCUCCAC